rnacentral:rRNA from 1 species
UACGGAAGGUCCGGGCGUUAUCCGGAUUUAUUGGGUUUAAAGGGAGCGUAGGCCGGAGAUUAAGCGUGUUGUGAAAUGUAGACGCUCAACGCCUGCACUGCAGCGCGAACUGGUUUCCUUGAGUACGCACAAAGUGGGCGGAAUUCGUGGUGUAGCGGUGAAAUGCUUAGAUAUCACGAAGAACUCCGAUUGCGAAGGCAGCUCACUGGAGCGCAACUGACGCUGAAGCUCGAAAGUGCGGGUAUCGAACAGG